AUGAACUGUUUUUGUAAUGUUGCAGAGCCAAAUCCUCCUCAGAAUCUCACAGUGACAGCUGUCACGUCCAGUCAGAUUGCAUUGUGUUGGACUGCCCCCGAUUCUACCCAGAAUGCUCAGUUUGAGCACUUCAUCCUGCACUGGGUGGAUCUAGUCUCUGGCAGAGGCCUUGCCACACGCUUGGAAAAGAUGAAUCGGAGCGCUGUGAUUGGUGGGUUGAAGGCGUAUCGUGCUCACAGGAUCACAGUUGUGUCUGUCACAGCUCAAGGUGUGGAAAGCUCUGACAGUCUGUCCGUGACUGUUAUCACAGAGGUUAGUCCUCCACGCAGGGUCUCGGUUGAUGCCGUGGGUCUGGAGAACAUGACUGUGUGCUGGUGGCCUUCACUGGACGAGGAAGUUGAUAAAUAUUACAUCCAGCUCCACCCACAGACAAAUCAGGCUCAAACUAGAGAAUUCUGGGUAAAUGGCUCCACCUGCAUCUCUCUUACACAGCUCAAAUCAGGUGGGACAUAUGAAGUGGGAGUGGCUGCAGUGAAGGGCAGAAAUAUGAGCAUAGUGACAACCAUACAACAGACUCUAAGUAUGAUUCAUUUCUGUUUUAAUCUUCCAUUUCCUCCAUGAUGCUUCUUUUUUAGUCUACAAAAUGUAUUUUCGAUUCUUCUUUCAGAACCUGAUAGCAUCCAGAUUGCUGUGCCAUACACAGUUGACACACACUCUGUGGAGCUCUUUGUGCAGAUGCCCAGAAACAGCAUUUAUGACGGCAUCACCGUUACUUACCAGAAUAAUCGAUCCUGGACACCAGUGUCCACAGACAGCACCAAACUGUUAGUCGACAACCUGAGUCCAGGAACACAGUAUGACUUUAAUGUGUUUGUGACCAGCAGAGACACGAGCAGUGAAGGCUUUGCUCUGCCACCUGUGAGAACCUGUGAGAAAACAUUUCAGAAACUUUUACUUUUAUUGCUGAAAAAGUACAAUACUGGUCAAAAGUCUGAAAUAUUUUGGAAG
ensembl:lncRNA